AUGUUUUGCAUAAUUACUGAAUUUCACCAAUACCUGCAGCUCCCAGGUUUGAAUCAUAACCAUAACACAUGGUGUUACUCCAUUCGCUCCAGUCCUGGCGAUCAAGAUUACCUUGGUGACUUGUGCUUGUUAGCUGGACAAGCUUCAAAAAGCAUCGGAGUAGCCUUUCAACUCUCAAUGAGAAUAUGCACUUGAACUCUUCCA
rnacentral:misc_RNA from 1 species